UACGUAGGGUGCAAGCGUUAAUCGGAAUUACUGGGCGUAAAGCGUGCGCAGGCGGUUAUGCAAGACAGAUGUGAAAUCCCCGGGCUCAACCUGGGAACUGCAUUUGUGACUGCAUGGCUAGAGUACGGUAGAGGGGGAUGGAAUUCCGCGUGUAGCAGUGAAAUGCGCAGAUAUGCGGAGGAACACCGAUGGCGAAGGCAAUCCCCUGGACCUGUACUGACGCUCAUGCACGAAAGCGUGGGGAGCAAACAGG
rnacentral:rRNA from 1 species